rnacentral:rRNA from 1 species
AUGACUCUCGGCAACGGAUAUCUAGGCCCUCGCAUCGAUGAAGAACGUAGCGAAAUGCGAUACUUGGUGUGAAUUGCAGAAUCCCGUGAACCAUCGAGUUUUUGAACGCAAGUUGCGCCUGAGCCGCAAGGCAGAGGGCACGUCUGCUUGGGAGUC